UAGGGAAUCUUCGGCAAUGGACGGAAGUCUGACCGAGCAACGCCGCGUGAGUGAAGAAGGUUUUCGGAUCGUAAAGCUCUGUUGUAAGAGAAGAACGAGUGUGAGAGUGGAAAGUUCACACUGUGACGGUAUCUUACCAGAAAGGGACGGCUAACUACGUGCCAGCAGCCGCGGUAAUACGUAGGUCCCGAGCGUUGUCCGGAUUUAUUGGGCGUAAAGCGAGCGCAGGCGGUUAGAUAAGUCUGAAGUUAAAGGCUGUGGCUUAACCAUAGUACGCUUUGGAAACUGUUUAACUUGAGUGCAAGAGGGGAGAGUGGGAUUCCAUGUGUAGCGGUGAAAUGCGUAGAUAUAUGGAGGAACACCGGUGGCGAAAGCGGCUCUCUGGCUUGUAACUGACGCUGAGGCUCGAAAGCGUGGGGAGCAAACAGGAUUAGAUACCCUGGUAGUCCACACCGUAAACGAUGAGUGCUAGGUGUUAGACCCUUUCCGGGGUUUAGUGCCGUAGCUAGCGCAUUAAGCACUCCGCCUGGGGAGUACGACCGCAAGGUUG
rnacentral:rRNA from 1 species